rnacentral:rRNA from 1 species
UACGUAGGGUGCGAGCGUUGUCCGGCCUUACUGGGCGUAAAGAGCUCGUGGGUGGUUUGUCGCGUUGUUCGUGAAAACCGGAGGCUUAACCUUCGGCGUGCGGGCGAUACGGGCAGGCUGGAGUACUGCAGGGGAGACUGGAAUUCCUGGUGUAGCGGUGGAAUGCGCAGAUAUCAGUAGGAACACCGGUGGCGAAGGCGGGUCUCUGUGCAGUAACUGACGCUGAGUUGCGACAGCGUGGGGACCGAACAGG